rnacentral:rRNA from 1 species
CAGCAGCCGCGGUAAUUCCGGCGGCCCGAGUGGCGGCCACUAUUAUUGGGCUUAAAGCGUCCGUAGCCGGGUUGGUUAGUCUCCCGGGAAAUCUGGCCGCUUAACGGUCAGAAUUCCGGGAGAUACUGCCAGCCUAGGGACCGGGAGAGGCCGAGGGUAUUCCCGGAGUAGGGGUGAAAUCCUAUAAUCCCGGGAGGACCACCUGUGGCGAAGGCGCUCGGCUGGAACGCGUCCGACGGUGAGGGACGAAGGCCAGGGGAGCAAACCGGAUUAGAUACCCGGGUAGUCCUGGCUGUAAACGAUGCGGACUUUGUGUCGGACAAGCUAUGAGCUUGUCCGGUGCCGGAGGGAAACCGUUAAGUCCGCCGCCUGGGGAGUACGGCCGCAAGGCUGAAACUUAAAGGAAUUGGCGGG